AUACGGAGGAUCCAAGCGUUAUCCGGAUUUAUUGGGUUUAAAGGGUGCGCAGGCGGCCUUAUAAGUCAGUGGUGAAAUCUCCCGGCUCAACCGGGAAACUGCCAUUGAUACUGUAAGGCUAGAAUACAGACGAGGUAGGCGGAAUGUAGCAUGUAGCGGUGAAAUGAUUAGAUAUGCUACAGAACACCGAUCGCGAAGGCAGCUUACCAGACUGUAAUUGACGCUAAGGCACGAAAGCGUGGGGAGCGAACAGGAUUAGAAACCCCAGUAGUCC
rnacentral:rRNA from 1 species